AAGCCAGGAGUUUAGAAGUAGAGGCUAUCCUAAACAUGUCAUCAAAAAGGCAUUAAUUAAAGCUGAAAAAACUGAUAGAACCACCCUACUGAAAGAAUCUGCUAAACCAACUAAAAAUCAAAUUAUCUGGACACAAGAAUUAUCACAUUACUCCAAACACAUAAUCCAAAUUAUAAAAAAACACUGGCAUCUUCUUCAAGAUAUUUCAGGUUGCGAUAAAUUACCUAUUUUUGGAAACAGGCGUACUAAAAAUAUUAGAGAAUAUUUAAUCCAUACAGAUUUAACCACUCCUAUUAGUACACCAAAGAGCACCCUGAGAGGCCAUUAUCCUUGUGGUCACUGUAAGUGUUGUCCUCAAUCUUGGAAGACUAAGGAGAUAUAUAAUCAUAGGAACAAAGUGGGCACCACACUAAAACAUUUUUCUACUUGUAAUAGCAACAAUGUAAUCUACCUCUUGACAUGUGACUGUGAUCUCUGGUAUAUUGGAAAAACAACCAGAUCCUUGAGAAUCAGAAUCUCUGAACAUAAAUCCAGAAUCAAAAAUUUAUCUACAGAAUCUCUUUUAUAUUCACACUUCACCCAAUACAAACAUUCACCUACCUCAUUUAAAUUUUGUGUUCUGGAAUGCAUCUCUCAAAAACCUUUCAUGGACUUGGAAAAACUAUUAUCCCAAAGGGAAAUGUACUGGAUCUUUAAGUUUAAAACCUUUUCCCCUCAGGGACUUAAUGAAUCACUUAAUUUUAGCUGUUUCCUUUAAACCUUCAAGUACUCUUUAAAAACCCUUGAGUGAACCUCCAGAAUUACUCGCAGUUGAAAUCACCACAAGCAGAGUCACUCAGUGAAAGCAUUUAGCACUAUGUAAGUAUAUACUGUUAUAUGGGUUACUUUUACUUCUGUUAAUACUGCUGGUAAAAUACUUGUUACUCUAUGUUUUGUUUUAGAUAGAAAUUCAUUGUUGCUGAGUUUAACAACUCCUGAAGAAGGGGUUUUCCCCUGAAACAGGGUCAAAAAUACCCGGGACCCCUGUAGAGAAUUGGGACUUUAUUUGUACUUUACUUUUGAAGACUUUUUUGAGAGCGGUGCUCCAUCAUUAUUUUCUUCAAUCAAAUAUACAGCAACUUUUUGACAAUCGUUCGUUUGUGUGUAUAGAUACUCUACAAGUAUUCUGGGACUUUGUAUAGUAACUUAGCCAUAUCACUAUGGAUGACUGGCUCGGUACAUUGAGCUUUGAUAAAGAAGAUAUUAUGUCUCUUACUAAAAACAGGUCGGUCAUUGACCAUGUACCAGCAGCUGAGUCCUCCCAGACCAGCAAUUUACUUUAUGAUUUAGAAAAAUUGAAAAAAAGAAACAUUCGUUUGGAUCUCCAUGCAUCCACAUUAGCUGAUUAUAUAAAACACAAUAUGAUCCCCAGAGGAUUAAGGAUAUAUAAACCACCUGGCAUGUUCAAAGAAGAUAAAGAUUUUUUACAACAAUGGGUUAAAAUUUUAAACAAAUGUUCCUUGGAUCUGAUGGCAUUAUUGAUUAUGAAAUCCAAUGCCACCAUUAAGGAUGGAGAAAAUAAAAUUACCAAUCUCAUGGAAAACAUUACGAAAGAUACAACCUCUGCUACCAUGUUGGAGACUCUUGACAAAAAAUGUAGUGACCUGUACAAUCAGGUGAAGGAAUUUAAAAUUAAAAAGUUUGAAAGAGAUCGUCAUGAUUACCAGUCCAAUCGAGUCUACCCAUGGUUAUUGGACAAAGAUCAAGUUUCCUCUAAGAGAAAAGUCAGAUUCCAUCCUCAAUUUACAGACUCCUCUACCGAGGAAGACCCAGGAAGGACAACUGAAAGCUCUGAAGUCUCUGACUCACCACCUUUAAGAAGAUCCUCCAGACAUAAGAAUAGGACUCUACCAUCAUCCUCAUCCUCAAUUUUUUUUCCAAGGGACCGAAAUCGGAGACACCGAACCUGAUUGUUAAUUUAUCCGAUUAUAAGUUAUCUGAUGUAGAAAGGUCAAUAGUAAACAAAGGUCUAUCAUUUGUUCCCACCCCUAAAUUUAAUGCAUUUCGAGCACGAAUAGAUUUAUUCAAGCUAUUUAGAACCAUCCGCUUAAGAGACAUGUUUAAAGACAGCAUAUCCAACACAACCACAGAUCCUUUCAAACCCAAAAGUACCUUCUGCCCUUCCACAGAUAACAUUUACAUUAAAUGCUUUGAAAAAGCUGUAGAGAGGGACUUUAACAAGCUAACUACUCGUAGACAACCAUACCACUCAAAUUUAUCAGAAUUAGAAAGAACCACUCUGGUCAAAUUGAGCAACCUCAAAGAGGUAGUCUGGAAACCAGCAGAUAAAGGGGGAGCUAUAGUAUUACUUAACAAAAGAGAUUAUAUUAAGGAAGUCAACCUCCAGUUAUCAAAUAGUAAAUUCUACCAACCUAUUGCAACAGACCCCACUAAACACAUUCAGUCCCUUAUUAGGGUGGUGUGUCAAGAGGGAUUAUCCAUGGGAUUUAUCUCUUCUUCUACAUUUAAAUACUUACAAAAUGACUUCCCUAGGAUACCUAUCUUUUAUAUUCUUCCUAAGAUUCAUAAAGGCAUCAUUCCACCCCCAGGCCGACCUAUUAUUUCUGGUUCAUCUUCUGUAUUGGAACCAGUUGCUAAAUAUCUAGACUCCUUUUGCCAACCAUUUGUCCCUCUCUGUGAUUCCUACAUUAAAGACACAAAGCACUUCAUUAAUAUCGUAGAAAAUCUCAAUAUUGAGGAGGACAGCAUUUUAGUUACGAUUGAUGUCACCUCACUCUAUACUAACAUUCCACUAGAUGAGGCUCGUACCAUUAUAGAAAAUAUCCUUCGUAGGAGAACAAAGUUGCAACCACCUACACACUUCUUGAUGGACUUGUUAGAUAUAGUACUAGAGAAAAAUUAUUUCCGUUUUCAAAACCAAUUUUACUUUCAGACCUUCGGUGUCGCUAUGGGAAGUCCGUUAGCUCCAUCGAUUGCCAAUCUAUUCAUGGCACAUUUAGAAAACACUAUAUUGCAUAAUCCAUCUUUAAAUAUGUACUAUUCUAAUAUAAUAUACUAUGGCCGAUUCAUUGAUGAUAUAUUCAUAGUAUUUAAAACAACUGAAGCCGCAGUAGGAUUCUCUAAUUGGAUUAACACUAUACAUACGUCUAUUAAAUUUACCAGUCAUCUCAACCUGUCACAUAUCAAUUUUUUAGAUGUUACUGUGUAUAAACAUCAUAACAAACUGUUGGUCAAGAACUUCAGAAAACCAUCAGAUAAGAAUUCUUUUCUUCAUUAUAACAGCUUCCACCACUUUGGUUUAAAGACCAAUCUUCCAUUUUCACAACUACUUAGACUAAAGCGUAACUCAAGCUCUAAUGAACAUUUCAUUCAUGAAAGCCUGACCUUAAGCCAGGAGUUUAGAAGUAGAGGCUAUCCUAAACAUGUCAUCAAAAAGGCAUUAAUUAAAGCUGAAAAAACUGAUAGAACCACCCUACUGAAAGAAUCUGCUAAACCAACUAAAAAUCAAAUUAUCUGGACACAAGAAUUAUCACAUUACUCCAAACACAUAAUCCAAAUUAUAAAAAAACACUGGCAUCUUCUUCAAGAUAUUCCAGGUUGCGAUAAAUUACCUAUUUUUGGAAACAGGCGUACUAAAAAUAUUAGAGAAUAUUUAAUCCAUACAGAUUUAACCACUCCUAUUAGUACACCAAAGAGCACCCUGAGAGGCCAUUAUCCUUGUGGUCACUGUAAGUGUUGUCCUCAAUCUUGGAAGACUAAGGAGAUAUAUAAUCAUAGGAACAAAGUGGGCACCACACUAAAACAUUUUUCUACUUGUAAUAGCAACAAUGUAAUCUACCUCUUGACAUGUGACUGUGAUCUCUGGUAUAUUGGAAAAACAACCAGAUCCUUGAGAAUCAGAAUCUCUGAACAUAAAUCCAGAAUCAAAAAUUUAUCUACAGAAUCUCUUUUAUAUUCACACUUCACCCAAUACAAACAUUCACCUACCUCAUUUAAAUUUUGUGUUCUGGAAUGCAUCUCUCAAAAACCUUUCAUGGACUUGGAAAAACUAUUAUCCCAAAGGGAAAUGUACUGGAUCUUUAAGUUUAAAACCUUUUCCCCUCAGGGACUUAAUGAAUCACUUAAUUUUAGCUGUUUCCUUUAAACCUUCAAGUACUCUUUAAAAACCCUUGAGUGAACCUCCAGAAUUACUCGCAGUUGAAAUCACCACAAGCAGAGUCACUCAGUGAAAGCAUUUAGCACUAUAUAGAAAUUCAUUGUUGCUGAGUUUAACAACUCCUGAAGAAGGGGUUUUCCCCUGAAACAGGGUCAAAAAUACCCGGGACCCCUGUAGAGAAUUGGGACUUUAUUUGUACUUUACUUUUGAAGACUUUUUUGAGAGCGGUGCUCCAUCAUUAUUUUCUUCAAUCAAAUAUACAGCAACUUUUUGACAAUCGUUCGUUUGUGUGUAUAGAUACUCUACAAGUAUUCUGGGACUUUGUAUAGUAUCAACAGUUUGCCACCACAUGUUAAAAGAACCGUGUGAGAACUUGCCAUGUUCCUGUUCAAGCUGCCUGAUAGUUAGGAGAGAAUUUAAUUUCCAUGUGAACAAUGAUAGAAUCAGUCCAGUUUUAGAAGGAAGGAAGGUGCACUAGAAACUCAAGAGAAGAAUCACUUCUGCUAUUAGACAUCUUACAUGGUAUAUACUUAAAUGUUACUUCAGGAAAGGGGGAGGGUGGCAGCUUCAUGAAUGUAAUUUUCAACUUUUUUUCUGUUUUAUCCAGUGUUGCCUGGUGUCUUGUAUUUUAAGGAAUAGAUCUUUAUUUCAAACAAAUUUCCUGUGGGCCCUGCCUAAGUGUGCCCUCAAGCCAAUCAUGCUGGCACCAAGACCUAUCCCUACCCUUUUGGCUUGCCUUUUCAAUCAAAGGGCAGACCAAAAGGGUGGGGCAGGCCUCGGUGCCAGUGCAAGGACAAUGAGGGUGAGCCUAGGCUUAUGCCAGUGGCAGGCGCAUGCUGGGUGGGGCAGUUGUGGUGGCAGUUGCCAAGGAAAAUCACCUCAGCAACUGCCACACCCCUACCAGGCACGUGCCCACUGUGGCUCAGCCCAGAUGCGCCCUCAUUGGCCCCUGCCCAGAACCACACACACACCCCCCCCACACACACACACUGGGUGCCUCUUAUUUUUACAAUACACAUCUGGCAACCCUGGUUUGAACACACAAUUUUCAGCUUUUUUCUGUUGGAUCACUAAGUUUUAUGCUAUAUUCCGCUGUUGGAGAUGUGUAUGUGAAUGCUGGUUCCCAUUCUCUCUGGGUUUUAGCCUAAACAUCAAUGGAGCUAUCAACAGUACUGAACCGACUUUGGGAACCUUGGACAGCUCCCUCAGAGUAGGGUUCCUCAGAUUAACUUUCAGCACCUUUUCUUUCAUCAAACUAUUCAGAUGCCACUCUUUCUGCACAUAAAAUGCAAAAGAAGAUCCUUCUUGUUAUUUCAUCCAGACAGCAAAAUAUUCUAGACUAGUAUUGCCAGCAGGAGCUUCUGCCAAUCUUUCCAGAGUAAUUUAGGAGUAAAGAACCCUAGGCCAUUAAAUCUUGUUGGGCUACAAUGCUCAAAAUCCCAAAUCAUUGUUCAUGCUGUGUAGGGCAAAUGGGAGUUAUAGACAAGAUACAACCACCUCAUUUAAAAUGCCUCUGUACUUGAUGGACAACUAGUCUGGUAAAGAUAUAGGGCACAUUAUUGGUUGCACAUCAACGUUUUGGUAGUAUGCUGUUGAAUUUGAAUUUUACCAAAGAGCAAACACAUUACUCUGGUUAAAGGCAGAUGACUAAAAAAAUUAAACUAUUGAAACAUCAAAAUAUAUUAGCUAUUUGGAGUUCUUCAUAUUUUGAGGCUAUAAUCUUAAACACAACAAAAGAGGAAGAAAACCCCUUUCAAAACAUUGGCAUCUUUUUAAUAAAAAAGCAUUAAUGGAAUUACACUGUAAAUGAAUUCAGAAGAAGUGGUUGCAAUUUUCAUUACAACUAUCUCAAGCAAAAUUUGUUCACUGACAUCUAUUAGGCCACUCAUUUACAGGUAACAAAUUAGAGUCUAUAUGCAGUCAUAUAGGAAACCAACCAAAAGAGAUGACAAAAGAAAAUGCAUAUCAAAGAAUUUGUUUCCAGACUGAAAAUCCAAGCAUCAAUAACUCUCACAUAUCCCACAAUUUUAACUACUUCACUUUAAUAUGUGACUUAUAAUAAUAACACAGGUAUCAUUUUCCAACAGUGGAACAGCGAGAUAGUCCAGGAGUGAUUUAUUGUUGCUAUUUUUAUUUUUAUCUGAACACAGAACUCAGAUAUCAAUUAGUGUAAUUUAACACAUAGCCUUUGUAGAUUGAUUAAUUAGUAAGGCACCCCGAGUCCCAUCAUAACAUUAAUUUGUAAGAUACCUUGAGAAUCACCAUCAGAGUUGUGCCAAAGAUUUUACUGGAGCUCUUUAUGGCAAAGAAAAGUGAGUUCUCACUGUAAGUUUAGUACUAUAAGAAGGAACUGAAACUGGGCAAACUUCCUCAAGGGCUUCUCCUUUCUUGACACUUUUUUAUAUACAGUUGUUUAGGUUAUCCAUCACAGCAUGCCAAGAACUAGACCACAGGUCCAUUUUGUGCCUGAACAGAGAACAGCAUGUGAAACUAAUGAUAACAGGAGCACAUUAAUUGUUCCCUAUUUCUCAGUCUCCUCUCGGCAACUAGAGUGCAUAAGUUAUUUCUUAUAAAUAAUAUAGCUUCUCACUGCUUAACCCACUUAGUCAGAUGUGUCAAUCAGCUUGACUAUCUCUUUCAUCCCUCCUUAGUGCUUUCAAAAGGGGCAGAAAAGUGGAACUCUCAUGUGUUAGACAGCCAAAAGUGGGGGAAUCCAAGAAGAUUAAAAAUAGAUCCCAAUGGGCAAAGCUGAACAUACUGAAUAAAUCUGUGUGUGUGUGUGUGUGGCUAGCAUUAAGUUGGUAUUGUUUAUUAUGGAUUGAUGAUGAUAAAUGGAAGCUCUUACAUGUGCCCGCAAUCCAGAGUCACCCACAGAACAAUAACGUGCCACUCAGCUUAGCAGGACAAAAAUACAGAAACUUUACUAAUUCCAAAAGAUUAAAAAAAAAACCAGUAGUAUUUACAAUAGUCUCUCUGAUCGCUUACAGAAGUCCAUAAUCAUAAACAGUCCUUUCUCAGUCCACAAAUCUGCUUCAGAGAAGAAUACCAUCCGGGUUCUUCCCCCUCUUUUCUCAACAGCAAACAGGCUUUAAAAUAGCAAGGCCUCUCUGAGUACACGGCUUUUUUCACCAGCAGUACUCAGUCAGCACUGAAAAAAAAAGCUUGUCCAAACUGGUUCUGCAGCAGCAGAACAGAAACAGUAUUAAAUCAAUCUCCAGGUCUUUGCAGGCUCAGCCAAUCGACUUCAUGCACUUCAUUUUCCAGUUAACACACAAAGCACAGUGCCUUUGCAAACCAUGACAUUGUUUACAAUUCUUCCAUGAAUUUAUGUAUAUACAGGCUGUUCCCAAGUUACAAACAUCUGACUUCCAGAUGACUCAUAGUUAAAAACAGGAGUUAGGCGACAGGAAGUGAGCGAAAUCUGCCCCUUGGAAGGGAAAUUUAUUCCCAAAAGAGUUAUCAUGGGAAAAGGUGUCUCCACUGAAGCUUUAUCACUAUUCUUUGUUUCCGCAACAAGCCAAACUUUUCAAAAUCCAAUUAUCUCAGAAAUAGAAAAUGAAAUCUUCUGAACAUGGGCACAGACAGCAAAACAAACACCACAGGGGUGUUAACCCUUCCCUAUGCUAUUCAAAGCACAUACAAACACACACACACACACACACAUAUAUAGCUGGAGUUAUACUUUAAAAAUGUACCUGUUCCGACUUACAAACAUAUUCAGCUUACAGAACCUACAGAACCUAUCUUGUUUGGGGAGUGCCUGUAUCUGAAAAAUGUGUGUGUAAUAGUAUAUGCAGUGAUGUAGUGUACAUUUUCUAUGAAACAACACAUAAAUAAUACUUCUGUCCAAUCUGUGUGGGUUUUGAAAAUUUUGUACACGGGACAUUAUGUUUUAGACAUAGAUAUCACUUUCUGCACAGUAUGUUGUGCCCUAUGCAGAAAAUGCUGUUUAGUGCACGAUAAAGCCGCAUGCAACUUUUGUGUAGAAUUAAUUCCGACCUGUGAAGAUUCUCAUUGGUCCAGGAUUUUCCUCAUCUAUGUUUCCUAACACAUCUUUGAUUAUUUUUAAUUAUCAUAUUUUUAAUAUUCUUUUAUAUCUUAGUAUGCACUGUCUGUCAAAUGAUAAUGCAUCUGUAGAUAAGGCAUUUUGCAUCAUUGUCUCCUAACUAUCCUGAAAUAUGUUUUUUCUUAAAGCUGAUGAGGCAUUGUUUUUUCAGUUUUUUGUUUAUUUGAAAUACAUCUGUGGCACGCAGUAUGUUCAACAAAUUCAAACAGUACAAGCAAGAACUACUUAAAUGCAUGUUUUUGCUCAAAAAUGACUAGCAAAAUGACUAGCAAAUGUAAUCACUAGACCAUAAACUAAAUGAAAGACAUCUCAAAUCAUUAAAUGCAAUACAAAUUAAAAAUGUUUUGAUAACAGUUUUGAAUGUGUGCCUAAACUGCACCCAAGUCAUGUUGUUGUUGUUGUUGUGACUGAGAGGUAUAUUAUUGAGAAUGGAGACUGCUACUGAAAAUUCCCUUUUCUGGGUUUUCACCAGUUGGAUCAAGGCAGGAUGCUGUAUAACUAAGACUACCUCUGCGGACAAUUGCAAUGGGUAACCAGAUUUAUAUGGAAGAAGGUGUUCUUCUGCAGUAGAUGCAGGGACAGAAAAAGUACUAUGAUUUCUUGACCAUAAAUUGUGUAGUCUGCAGCAUACAUUCUUCUUCUCUGUGCUCCAGGGCAUAUAUCCUCAAACUCUCUGAAAGUUAAAGAGAAAGAUUUACACAACAGCCUAGCAGAAUACUGGAGGCAUAGAUUAAAAGCAAAAUGUCAGUGCCCAGAAUGAUAGAGCUACAGUGACUGGGAAAGUGAAUUAUAACAUACAAGACUAUUUUCCUGGUAUUGUAGGCAACUUUGUAAAAGAAUAGCUCAGCUGUAGUCUGUGCAUGUGAGGCAAAGAGACAGA